rnacentral:tRNA from 1 species
GCAGGGGUAGCAAAGCCUGGUCAAAUGCGUGGGGCUUAGAACCCCAUCCCGUAGAGGGUUCGAGAGUUCGAAUCUCUCCCCCUGCA